rnacentral:rRNA from 1 species
AAUGAACGUUGGCGGCGUGGAUUAGGCAUGCAAGUCGCGCGAGAAGUUUCCUUCGGGAGACGGACAGCGGCGGAAGGGAGAGGAAUAAGUAGAAAUCUGCCCUCGGGACGGGGAUAGCGGCGGGAAACUGCCGGUAAUACCCGAUAACAUCUUUGGAUCAAAUGGUGUGAUUCCGCCUGAGGAUGAGUCUACUUCCUAUUAGCUAGUUGGUGUGGUAAUGGCUCACCAAGGCAACGAUGGGUAGCGGGUGUGAGAGCACGAUCCGCCUCACUGGGACUGAGACACUGCCCAGACACCUACGGGUGGCUGCAGUCGAGAAUCUUCGGCAAUGGGGGAAACCCUGACCGAGCGACGCCGCGUGCGGGAUGAAGGCCCUCGGGUGUAAACCGCUGUCGUAAGGGAACAAAUCUAAGAGGGUACUCCCUUUUAGUUGAGUGAUCUUAGGAGGAAGGACGGGCUAAGUUCGUGCCAGCAGCCGCGGUAAU